UCGUGAGACAGUUCGGUCCCUAUCCGCUGCGCGCGUUGGAAAUUUGAGAAGGUCUGUCCUUAGUACGAGAGGACCGGGACGGACGAACCUCUGGUAUGUCAGUUGUACCGCCAGGUGCAUGGCUGAUUAGCUACGUUCGGGAUGGAUAACCGCUGAAAGCAUCUAAGUGGGAAGCCCACCUCAAGAUGAGUAUUCUCAUCACGUAAGUGAGUAAGGUCACGGUAAGACUAACCGUUUAAUAGGCAUUAAGUGU
rnacentral:rRNA from 1 species